rnacentral:rRNA from 1 species
UAUUAAAUAUCUGGGGUAGAGCACUCAUUAAACUAGGGGGAUACUGCAUCUUACCAAAUUUAGGGAAACUCCGAAUACGGAUAAUUUUGAACUAUGUAGACAGACCUUGGGAGCUAAGUUCCUGGGUCAAGAGGGAAACAGCCCAGAGUGUUCGUUAAGAUCCUCAAAUUUUAUCUAAGUGGACAAGAAUGUGAGAAGAUAAAGACAGCUAGGAGGUAGGCUUGGAAGCAGCCAUCCUCUAAGGAAAGCGUAACAGCUCACUAGCCUAAUUUUCUUGCGUCGAAAAUAUAUUGGGACUAAAGAUAAAUAUCGAAACGGCACUUUUAUUAAAUCAAUAAAAAGUAGCGAAACGUUCUGUAAGCCUGAGAAGAAAGGUUGUAAAAUCUUUUGGAGGUAUCAGAAGUGAGAAUAUUGGCAUGAGUAACGAUAAAGAAUGUAAAAACAUUCUCGCCGUAAGUCCAAGGGUUCCGACGUAAAGUUAAACUGCGAAGGGUUAGACGGUCCCUAAGAAGAAGACGAAAGUCGUAUUCGAUGGGUAAUGUAUGAUAAAUAUUUACAUACUCUUAAAAAUGACUAAAAUAGUAAUUCGCGUACCUAUACUCAUUAAAUGGAUUUGAGUCGUGAAGAAUAUUUUACAGGAAAUAAUUUUUAAGUAAUUACCGUACCCUAAACCGACACAGGUGGACGAGUCGAGUAGACUAAGGCGCUUGAGAGAACUAUGUUGAAGGAACUCGGCAAAAUGGCCCUGUAACUUCGGGAGAAAGGGUGCCUAAAUAGGAUAGGUAGUCUUAUUUAGGCGGCACUGAAUAGGGAGUAGCGACUGUUUAAUAAAAACACAGGACUCUGCUAAAUUGUAAAAUGACGUAUAGGGUCUGACACCUGCCCGGUGCUGGAAAGUUAAGGGGAUGUAUUUUUGUAUUGAACCGAAGCUCCAGUAAACGGCGGCCGUAACUCUGACGGUCCAAAGGUAGCGAAAUUCCUUGUCGGGUAAGUUCCGACCUGCAUGAAUGGUGUAACGACUUCUCCGCUGUCUCCAACAUAGACUCAGUGAAAUUGAAAUGGCUGUGCAGAUACGGCCCUCCUAUAGCUAGACGGAAAGACCCCGUGCACCUUUACUACAUCUUUACAUUGUAAAAAGAUUUCAUAUGUGUAGAAUAGGUGGUAGCCUUUAAUACCUUAACGUAAGUUAACCGUAUAGGCAUCUUUGAAAUACCACCCUUAUGAUUUCACUUUACUUACCUUUCUAGGGACAAUGUAUGGUUGGUAGUUUGACUGGGGCGGUCGCCUCCUAAAAAGUAACGGAGGUGUACAAAGGUAGACUCAAAUUGUAUUUAAUCAAUUGUAGAGUGUAAUGGCAUAAGUUUGCUUGACUGUAAGAUAGACAUAUCGAGCAGGGACGAAAGUCGGUCAUAGUGAUCCGGUGGUUCUUUGUGA